CUUGUAGUACCACAGCUUAAAUCAGUGUUUUCCAGUGUGCCUCCAGCAGGUGUAAACUUUUGUAACAGCUGGAGGCACACUGUUUGGAAAACACUGGCUUAGAUUAUACUGUAGUCAAAUAUAUCCCCUUAUCUGAGGAGAGGGAUUUAGGAGUAAUUAUUUCAGAAGACUUAAAGGUAGGAAGUAGAGAUGAGCGAACUUACAGUAAAUUCGAUUCGUCACGAACUUCUCGGCUCGGCAGUUGAUGACUUUUCCUGCAUAAAUUAGUUCAGCUUUCCGGUGCUCUGGUGGGCUGGAAAAGGUGGAUACAGUCCUAGGAGACUCUUUCUGUGGGAGCUAUAACAGUACCUUGGUUAUCAUCAGUAUAUACACACGGAGCUAAUAGGGGCCAUUGCUGAGGAAGAAAAUAAUUGUAUUUAUUAGCCUAUUUCAUAUCAUAUGGGCGUUCUUUGAUGAACUCUGACAUUCAGAAUCCUCUUCAUCCCACCCAGUCGCUCCACCCAUUGAAGCAAAGACAGGCUCCUUCUGAACACCUGACUAGUGAUGUAAUGUCUAGACCGCAUUGCAACCUGUGGACACCUGAGAUGGGGUAAAAAUCACAGAAGAAUUGCGAGACCACCAUGAAACACAGGUCCUGUAGGGCUUCAGGCCAAGCCUGUUCAUCGGGGUAGCUGAAGUGGCUCUGACUAUACAUCUGCACUCUGGCAGGCAUUUCAGAGUGCCCACAGAACCACAAGUCUCAGGAGAACCUGCCAGGAGAUAACAGUGGUGCAUUACACUGUUAUCCAUCACUAUAUCUUAAUACAAUCCUAACCUGGACAGCUGCACCAAGGUUUUCCUUAGACACCUUAUAGCUCUAUAAGAUAGAACUUAUAGAAGUUAUUUAUCCUUAAA